GGUCACAUAGCUCAGUUUGCUAGAGCGUUGGCUCUACAAAAGCCUUCUCCUUGCUGGCGUGGGUUCGAAUCCCACCGAGGCCG
rfam:Schistocephalus solidus strain NST_G2 genome assembly, scaffold: SSLN_scaffold0019399